rnacentral:rRNA from 1 species
GACGAACCGAGCGAACGUUAUUCGGAAUCACUGGGCUUAAAGGGCGCGUAGGCGGGCCAUCAAGUCAGGGGUGAAAGCCUCCAGCUCAACUGGAGAAGUGCCUCUGAUACUGGUGGUCUCGAGGGAGGUAGGGGCGUGCGGAACUUCCGGUGGAGCGGUGAAAUGCGUAGAUAUCGGAAGGAACACCGGUGGCGAAAGCGGCGCGCUGGACCUCUUCUGACGCUGAGGCGCGAAAGCCAGGGGAGCGAACGGG